rnacentral:rRNA from 1 species
UACAGAGGGGGCAAGCGUUGUUCGGAAUUACUGGGCGUAAAGGGCGCGUAGGCGGCCUUCUAAGUCGAACGUGAAAUCCCCGGGCUCAACCCGGGAACUGCGUCCGAUACUGGAAGGCUUGAAUCCGGGAGAGGGAUGUGGAAUUCCAGGUGUAGCGGUGAAAUGCGUAGAUAUCAGGAGGAACACCGGUGGCGAAGGCGGGAUCCUGGGCCAGUACUGACGCUGAGGAGCGAAAGCGUGGGGAGCAAACAGG